GCAGUAAUUCCACAUUUUCUACUGGGCAGUCGGCAGACCAUCCCAAGUAAAACUGGAGCAAUUCAGGAUAUCCACCUUAUUCUAGGACGGCUUCUCUGUUUUUACAGUAAAUGUUACUGUAACGACUUGGCGCGACACAGGACAUCCCAAAAUGCAGCAAGUAGUGAAUGAAGAGGGUGCGGCGUAUGAGCCAGCCACACGCAGUUACAAUGACUUGUUUCCCGCUCUACCAGAGUCCACGUCCACAGCUCAGCACACCAAUAACACCAUGGGACAGUGGAACAACAAGAUGCGAGUUGGUACAUCAGUCAUCACUCAAGUUUUCAGAGUACCAUAUGAAGAACGUAAAUUAGAUCAUAGCGAUAAAUUUGGAGAAGGUGAAUCCUUUACAACAUGCGCUUCAAUAAUGAAAGAAACCGGUGCUCGCAUUGAAAUAUCUUCCAGCAAAGAUAUGUCUCUUUCAUUUUUGGUUACUGGUAAACAAAAUGAAGUGUUAGAGGCACGUCGUAAAAUUUUAAUACAUUUUCAAACUCAAGCAAGUAAACAAAUAUCAAUCCCAAAAGAACACCAUCGUUGGAUUCUUGGUAAAAAAGGUGAACGUUUAAAAGAACUUGAAAAGGUUACAGCCACAAAAAUAUCAGUGCCAUUAAUGAACGAUUCGUCUGAUAAAAUUACAAUAACUGGUACAAAAGAUGGAAUUGAAAAAGCCGAACAUGAGAUAAGAGUCACAUCUGAUGAACAAUCGAAAAAAGCUUUUGAAAGAGUUACUGUUCCAAAAAUUUAUCAUCCUUUUAUUGUUGGGGCAUACAAUGAAAAUUUAAAUCAAAUGAUUGCUGAUACCGGUGCAAGAAUUAAUGUACCUCCACCAUCAGUGAAUAAAGACGAGAUUGUUAUCGCUGGUGAAAAAGAUGGUGUUUUGGCUGCUAAAGCCAAAGUCGAGGCGAUUUAUAAAGAAAUGGAGGAAAAAUGUCAUAUCGUUUCUGUUGAAGUUGCUAAACCUCAACACAAGUAUAUUAUUGGACCAAGAGGGUCUACAAUUGCGGAAAUUUUACAAAAAACCGGGGUUAGUGUUGAAAUGCCACCGACGGAUUCUUCAACAGGGACGAUUACUUUACGCGGACCUCAUGACAAACUUGGAUUAGCUUUAAAUUUCGUUUAUGAAAAAGCCAAUUCAAGUUGUACAACUGAUAUUGAUGCACCAGCAUGGAUUCAUAAAUACAUAAUUGGAAAGAAAGGUUCCAAUAUUAAAGAGAUUACCCAAAAUUAUCCAAAAGUUCAUGUUGAAUUUACUGAUAAAGACAAUAAGAUUAAAAUUGAAGGACCACCAGAAGAUGUUAAAAAAACUAAAGAAACAAUUGAGAAUAUCGUAAAAGAUUAUGUUGCCAAAUUGAUUUUUAUAGAAAUGAAAGUUGAUCAAAGAUUUUAUAAACAUAUUAUUGGUAAAAACGGUGCUAAUGUGAACCGAUUGAAAGAAGAAACUAAUGUUUUAAUAAACAUUGAUGAAACUGGUUUGAUUCGUAUUGAAGGAACGAAAUUGGGAGUACAGAAGACUAAAUUAGAACUGGAAGAGAUGGUUAAAAAGUUAGAAAAUGAGAAAGAAAAAGAUGUUAUCAUCGAACAACGUCAUUAUAAAAACAUUAUUGGUUCGAAAGGUGAGAAAAUCAGGGAAAUUCGCGAUAAAUUUAAUCAAGUACAAAUUAAUUUUCCGGGACCGAGUGAUAAACGCGACGUAGUUAAAAUAAGAGGUCCCAAAGAAGAUGUUGACAAAUGCACGAAAUUCCUCCAAAAAUUAGUCAAGGAACUAAAUGAGGCUUCCUAUCAAAUAGAGGUGCCAAUCUUUAAACAAUUCCAUAAAUUCAUUAUCGGCAAAGGAGGCGGUAAUAUUAGAAAAAUCCGCGAAGAAACUCACACAAAAAUUGAUUUACCAGCCGAAGGUGAUAAAAACGACGUUAUUACGAUAACCGGAAAAAAAGAAAACGUCGAAGAAGCUAGAGAAAAAAUUCGUAGAAUUCAAGACGAAUUGGAAAAUAUCGUUAGCGAAGAAGUCACAAUUGACCCGAAAUUUUAUAAUUCAUUAAUUGGUACUAGAGGAAAACUAAUCCAUUCAAUUAUGGAAGAUUGCGGCGGUGUUACUAUUAAAUUCCCCACAGCUGAAAGCAAAAGCGAUAGAGUUACCAUUCGCGGACCUAAAGACGAUGUUGAUCGUGCUAAACAACAAUUACUCGAUCAUGCUAAUGAAAGACAAUUAUCUAGUUACUCGGCCGAAGUUCGCGCUAAAGCUCAACAUCACAAAUUUCUCAUUGGUAAAAAUGGGGCUAACAUCAAAAAAAUUCGUGAAUCAACCGGAGCUAGAGUUGUAUUUCCAACAAGUGCAGAUGAUGAUCAUGAAUUAAUUACUAUUAUUGGUAAAAAAGAGGCUGUUGAUGCUGCUAAAUUACAAUUAGAAGCAAGUAUAAAAGACAUUGAUAACAUUACUGAAAGUGAAAUGGUUGUUGAGUCUUGUUACCACAAACAUUUUGUGGCAAAACGCGGCGAAGUACUUCAUCGUAUAACUGAAGAAUGUGGCGGCGUGAUGAUCUCUUUCCCUCGUCCGGGAAUCGCAAGUGAUAAAGUUACAUUAAAAGGUUCUAAAGAAUGUAUUGAGGCAGCAAAACAACGCAUUGAAGAAAUAAUUUCCGAUUUGAAAUCGAUGGUGAUGAUUGAGUGUGUUAUUCCGCAACAUUUACAUCGUACCGUUAUGGGCGCAAAAGGACACAAAGUUCAAGGUAUAACAAUCGAUUACGACGUUUCGAUAAAAUUCCCUGAAAAAAAUAAAAUCGACGAUUACGAAGGUCAAAUAAACGGCGAAACUAACGGCGAUCCGGUUCGUCAAUGCGAUGUUAUUCGAAUAACGGGAAAAGAAGAAAAUUGUCUUAAAGCGAAACAAGCACUUUUGGAUUUGAUGCCGAUAACGAUCGAUGUUGACGUUCCUUUUGAAUUGCAUCGUUCGAUAAUUGGUCAAAAAGGGCGUGACGUUAAAGAAUUAAUGGAUACUUAUGACGUUCAUAUCGUUUUAUCUCCAGCCGACUUACGUGAAGAUAAAAUAAAAAUAACCGGCACACCAGCAAAUGUUGAACGUGCGAAAUUAGCAGUUUUAGAUAGAGUUGGUGAAUUAGAAGCAGAUCGUCGCGAUCGCGAAUUAAAAUCGUUCGCCUUGAAAAUUGAAGUUAACCCUGAAUAUCAUCCCAAAAUUAUUGGAAAACGAGGUGCUGUUAUCACUAAAAUUAGAUCUGAUCAUGAUGUACAAAUUAAUUUCCCGAAAAAGGGCGACCCAGACGAACAUAUUAUUACUAUUACUGGAUACGAAGAGAACACGCAUCGCGCUAAAGACGAUAUCAUGAAAAUCGUUAACGAGUUGAACGAUUUGGUUAAAGAGGAAAUUACGAUCGAUUCCCGCGUUCAUUCGCGACUUAUCGGCGCGCGCGGAAGAAAUAUCCGGAAAAUUAUGGAAGAUUAUAAGGUGGAAAUCAAAUUUCCAAGAAGUGAUGAUCCAGAUCCAAAUCUUGUUGUUAUUAUGGGGCAAGAAGAUAAUGUACUUGAAGCUAAAGAUUAUUUGCUCAAUAUGGAAGAGGAAUAUUUACAAGAUGUUGCUGAUCAAGAACACAGAGAUAGUUAUCGUCCUACAUUCAGUACUUUGGGCGAUAGUUUUGUAGGUGGUCGUUCAAAUGGUCGCGACAACAAUGGAUUCGUUGUACAGGGUGGUCCCUGGGAACAACAACGUGCGGCUGCUGUAGCUCCGAAUACAGCGAGCGUUACCGAAUUUCCGACGUUUGGUAACCGUAAUGCCAUUGAAGAGCCUCAAAUAACUCCAGUAGCCGGAGCUUGGGGUUCACGCCGUUAAAAAAAAUCGAAAAAGAUUAAAAAGUAAAACAAAUAAGCUAAAAACUACUACAUACGUUUACUACUACUACAAAAAAAUACUACUACUACCCCGUUUUUUUACAUGCUCAGUCCCAUAACAUAUAUUAUACAAGAGAGUCUUCAAUUUUUAUAGUUAGAUUUUUUAGAUUUACAUAGAGUAUUUGCGGGAUUACAAAAAAAAAGUAUUGAAAAACGACGAAAAAAAAAGGGUUUUUUAGUUAGGUUGGGUGGAUUUUUUUUUGAAGUUCCGGUUUGUUUAAAAAAACGAACAUCACUGCCAAAAUAUGAUUUCUAAGAUUUUUUGUGUGUUAUUUUGGGCGGACUGGUGCUUGUUAAAAAAGUUAUGAUUACAAAAAAAUAAAAGAGAAGCUGUAAUGUACUAACACUAGGGCUAAGUCUUUAGAAACGUACGAAAAUAAUUAAAAAAAAAAAGAAAAGAAAAAAAAUGAACCAAAAAAAAAGUAAUAUAACUGCAUCCUCUUCCUCACACUUGCUGCAUUAUGAUAGGCCUGGCUACGACAACGGACUCUGAUAUGGAACUGAAUUUAACACAGACGCAAUUCGAUUUAUAAAAAAAAGAUACUAAUUCUAAAAAAAAAUAAAAAAAAAGUGGUUCGCUCAGAAUACAAAAAUGAGGGGCGGACUAAAACUUUCUAUAUAAAGUCUACUAAAAAAAAAGGCCUACAUACGGCUCUAACCAAGUAGAGAUGUUAUGAUUUAUAAUUUUUGAACAUUUUUUUUAUAUUUUCAUUUUUUUAGUCUUGUUCUUAAUUUUUCCUUUUUGCUCAUACAAGCUGUUUCUGAUGGUGUAUAUAUAAAGAAAAAAGAAUUCAUAAUAUACUUUAUAUAUAUUAUAGUGAUUUAUACCUUUAGAAUAUUAUCUUUAUCAUGGUGAUAGUUUCCUGCAAUUUGUUUGUUUAAUAUAAUUUUCCAAACAUUUUAUCUUCUUCUUUUCUUUUGUGUUGUUAUAUAAACUCCUUGAGAAACACGCGUGUGAUUUCCAAUAAUAUAUCUUCCUUUCUUGUCUAUUUAAAUAAGCAUAGAAUAUGGUUUAAAAAAACUGUCCUAUACAGGAUGAGUCAAAAUAAUUUGUAAAAAAAUAAUGUAUAUUGAUGUAAUCAAAAAAAUUAGUUUCUAAAAUGAUUCUUCUAGAAGAUAUGGGGUAUUUAAAAGAUUGUGGAUAAUAAAAUUAAUAAUUUUGAUGUUCAGAAUGUAUACUGGGUGUUGGAUGUAGUGGGCUUCAAUGUUUGAACCUGUCAUGUUGAUGUUACUUCAAGUAGUUUAAUUUAAUUUUUUUGAUUUCAGAGGAAUAAAAAACAAUCACAAAAAUAAAUAUCCUGUAUCUUAGUAAUCAAUUCAGAGCUACAACUUAUUUUGAUAAUUAAAUUUUGUACAUUUUUAUGACUCACCUGUAGAUUAUGUUGUAAGUUUUUUUCUUUAAAUAUUUUAUUUUAUAUUAUUAAUAUAUUCGUUGUAUAUGUGUUGUUAAAAGUUUCAUUACGAAUAAGAAAUAAUAACAAAAAUGGAGGAGAAAACGAAAAUUCAAAAAUCAUUUUCCAAAAAUGAUUUAGUAAAGAAGUUAAAUCUUGCCAUCUUACUUUUUUACAAGUAUAACAUGUUUUAAUUUGUACACUUAAAAAAAGAGGAAAGAAAAAUUAUAUCUGUGAUAAUGAAACAUGCAAUAUUUGUAUAUGGGGACUUUAAAACCAGGUUUCUAUUAAAUUUUAAAUGCUUUUUUUUUCUCAGGAACGAUUAAUUUAUUAAUGACAUCAAAAAAAGAAAUGAAACUUUUAAAAAUACAAAUGUAAAUGAAUUCAAUAACAUUGCAUAUUAUAUCAUAUAGUUCUAUAUAAUUAAUUUGUAUAUUUUUUUUUGUUAAUUAUGUGAUUCUUGUAAUUUUUAUUAUUUUUGAGAUCGUCUCUUAGAUGCUUGUGUGUCAUAACUUCUCUGCCCCAUACGUUUUGAGGCGGUGCAAAGGUGCCUUCCUCUUUUUAUAUAAUGUGACCGUACCGAAAGAAAACUCCAAAAUAUAAAAAAAAGAUUUAAAACUGUAGUGCCACACACAGUGAGAAAAGACAUAACAUUUACAUUUUACAUAUAAACAUAAAUUAGACACAACCACUCCACACGUGUAAACUACAUUAAAAAGAAAUUUACGCAUUCGUUUUUUAGCUUCGUUUUCAGUUGGUGGUGGGAUGUUUACCCCAAUCUCAUAUUUUUCCUUAAUAUUAUUUUUUUUCCUUCUGUAUGGUUAUAAAUAAUUUUUUUUUGGUUGUUCGUAUGACAAUGUUUACGAAUCAGACUGAGUAAACUAUAUUAUUAAUGGCUCACAUGAUAUGAUUAUUUAAUUGAGAGUGUUUUAUUACUUUAUCUGGGUAAUAUUUAUGUAAAUAUUUGGUAUACUGAGUCCUCGUGGUCGAUUUGUUAGCCCAGGACUAACUGAGGGAGAGAAAUAUAUAAUUAAAAGUAUAA
rnacentral:misc_RNA from 1 species